UGGAUUGAGGAAGUUGAUCGAAUUAAAUUCGAAACAGGAAAAUCAAAACCAAUUGCAAAAGUUUAAUCUGUUUUGUACGUGAAUUCUUAUGAAGAUUUACACAAGACAAGCGCUCUCAAGAAUGUAAAAUGUUCCCGUUGAGCAAUCCAGGAGUAUAGUAUAACGCUGGCAGGUGACAUCUAUCGAAUGAAGAAAAACUGAAGCCAACAUUUAUUGGACCUUUCGAAGUGCAAGCAGUCCUACCAAACGAUCUAUAUGCCUUGAGAAGAGUAGGAGUCCAGAAUAGAACCAAUGAGAU